rnacentral:rRNA from 1 species
GACGAACGCUGGCGGCGUGCCUAAUACAUGCAAGUCGAACGCAGUGGGGACGGGUGAGUAACACGUGGGUAACCUCCCAUCAGAGGGGAUAACACUUGGACACAGGUGCUAAACCGAUCGUGGAGGAUGGACCCGCGGUGCAUUAGCUAGUUGGUGCGGUAACGGCUCACAAAGGCCACGAUGCAUAGCCCACCUGAGAGGGUGAUCGGCCACACUGGCACUGAGACAAGGCCCAGAAGCCUACGGGAGGCAGCAGUAGGGAAUCGUCGGCAAUGGACGAAAGUCUGACCGAGCAACGCCGCGUGAGUGAAGAAGGUUGUCGGAUCGUAAAACUCUGUUGUUAGAGAAGCGGUAUUUAACCAGAAAGCCACGGCUAACGACGUGCCAGCCGCCGCGGUAAGAC